rnacentral:tRNA from 1 species
GGGUCGCUAGCUCAACGGUAGAGUACUCGGCUUUUAACCGAUUUGUUCCGGGUUCGAAUCCCGGGCGACCCACUA